rnacentral:miRNA from 1 species
CUAUGAAUCACUUGGGGAUCUUGAUGUAAAUGUAAAUUCUCAUACAGUAGUCUAGAGUCCUGCUGGGAUUCUGCAUUUCUAAAAGCUUCCAGGUGAUACUGAU